rnacentral:rRNA from 1 species
GUGCCAGCAGCCGCGGUAAUACGAGGGGAGCUAGCGUUAUUCGGAAUUACUGGGCGUAAAGCGCACGUAGGCGGCUUUGUAAGUAAGGGGUGAAAGCCCAGAGCUCAACUCUGGAAUAGCCUUUUAGACUGCAUCGCUUGAAUCCAGGAGAGGUGAGUGGAAUUCCGAGUGUAGAGGUGAGAUUCGUAGAUAUUCGGAAGAACACCAGUGGCGAAGGCGGCUCACUGGACUGGUAUUGACGCUGAGGUGCGAAAGCGUGGGGAGCAAACAGGAUUAGAAACCCGCGUAGUCC